UCCCUUGUGACUUAGUUGGUAAAGAAUCUGUCUGCAAUGUGGGAGGCCUGGGUUCAAUCCCUGGUUUGGGAA
rnacentral:tRNA from 1 species